UAGCAUAUCAUAAGCGGAGGAAAAGAAACCAACAGGGAUUGCCCUAGUAACGGCGAGUGAAGCGGCAACAGCUCAAAUUUGAAAUCUGGCCCCUUUGGGGUCCGAGUUGUAAUUUGCAGAGGGUGCUUUGGCGUUGGCGGCGGUCUAAGUUCCUUGGAACAGGACAUCGCAGAGGGUGAGAAUCCCGUAUGUGGUCGCAUGCCUUCGCCGUGUAAAGCCCCUUCGACGAGUCGAGUUGUUUGGGAAUGCAGCUCUAAAUGGGAGGUAAAUUUCUUCUAAAGCUAAAUACCGGCCAGAGACCGAUAGCGCACAAGUAGAGUGAUCGAAAGAUGAAAAGCACUUUGGAAAGAGAGUCAAACAGCACGUGAAAUUGUUGAAAGGGAAGCGCUUGCAGCCAGACUUGCCUGUAGUUGCUCACCCGGGCUCCUGCCCGGGGCACUCUUCUGCAGGCAGGCCAGCAUCAGUUUGGGCGGUCGGAUAAAGGGCUCUGACACGUACUUCCCCUCGGGGUUGACAUACAGGGGAGCCGCAAUGCGACCAGCCCGGACUGAGGUCCGCGCAUCUGCUAGGAUGCUGGCGUAAUGGCUGUAAGCGGCCCGUCUUGAAACACGGACCAAGGAGUCUAACAUCUAUGCGAGUGUUUGGGUGUCAAGCCCGAGCGCGUAAUGAAAGUGAACGGAGGUGGGAGCCCCUCGGGGUGCACCAUCGACCGAUCCUGAUGUCUUCGGAUGGAUUUGAGUAAGAGCAUAGCUGUUGGGACCCGAAAGAUGGUGAACUAUGCUUGAAUAGGGUGAAGCCAGAGGAAACUCUGGUGGAGGCUCGCAGCGGUUCUGACGUGCAAAUCGAUCGUCAAAUUUGGGCAUAGGGGCGAAAGACUAAUCGACUAUCUAGUAGCUGGCUCUGCGA
rnacentral:rRNA from 1 species